AACUCACCAGGUCAGGACACGGUAAGAUUGACGGACUGAAGGCUUCUUUCUCGUAUUCCGUAGGAAAGUGGUGCAUGGUCCGUUUUUGGUUGGUGGAUCGAUCCGUCUGGUUAAUUCCGUUAACGAACGAGACCUCGGCACUCCGAAUAGCGCGGCGGACGUCGCGGCCUCCGGGCCGUCUUCCGCACGAGCUUCUUAGAGGGACCGUCCCCCGCCGGGGAAGGAGGUGCGAGGCAACGACAGGUCUGUGAUGCCCUUAGAUGUUCUGGGCCGCACGCGCAUUACACUGACGCGUCCAACGGGUGACUCCCGACCCGAAGGGGCCGGGGAAUCCGCAAGGCGCGUCGUGAUGGGGAUUGAACGUUGCAAUUGUUGUUCACGAACGAGGAAUUCCUAGUAGGCGCGGGUCAUCAACCCGCGCCGAUUACGUCCCCUGCCCUUUGUACACACCGC
rnacentral:rRNA from 1 species